GCACUGCUGAGGAGUCGCAUGAUAGGGCGAAACGGCCGUCCAGUGC
rnacentral:hammerhead_ribozyme from 1 species